UUGAUCUGGAGGAUCUCCUCUAUACUAAAGCAGACCCAAACGUACUAAGGCAAAACACAUUUUUUAUUAUGUGAAGCCUUAAUUGAAAUUUUCUAAACCCACAGGAUUACUUAAAUAUAAUAUGUACACAAAUAUGUACUUAUGUAAAAAAGUAUGUAGAUACAUAUGUACAUAUGUAUUUACUCUUACUUGUCAGUACGAACGCCAUGUGGAAUAGUAAGACUUUAAAAAAGUCGAAUAACAUAAAAAUGCAACGCAAGAAGAAAGCGGAAUUAAAUUAAUUACGAUUAAGAAACAAGAAGAGUAAGAGAAUAAAUAAAAAUGCGACCGAAUCAAUUGUUUAAUGAAAAAGAAAAUAAAAACACUUAAAAUUCACAAAAACCCAUACGAAACCGUUCAUUCAGCUGUUGGUGAUGACUUUGAGAGGGGCAACAGUUGCUGCACAGAGAAAACAACAAACAAGAAAGCAACGUCAAGAGCGCAAUGUGUGUCGAAUGACUAAAUCGGAAUAAAAUCAACGAACAAAAAAUUAAUACAGAACGAAAAUAUACAUACAUAAAACAAGUAUAAUCUAAAUACAGAAUAAAAAAUGAGAGAAAAAAUACACAAGUAUCACAACACUAACAGCAGCAGCAAGAGCAACAAAAAAAUUACAUGAAAUCAAAAUAUCAAUAGCAACGUUGCCAAGUUUACAUCCAACACUCAUGCGAACACCCAUACAUAGCGCGCUAGUGAAAAGAUAAUGGCAUAUAGUCUCAUGCUUUAGGGGGGACGAGUGAACGUAAACGAGUGUGAUACAAACGUAUAAGCAUAGGUACAUACACUCAUAACAUAUUCAAAGAUACCCGUUCAUACAUACGUAUAUAACCGUAACUACUCAUGCUGGGAAGCAAGCAGUCCGGCAAUCGACGUCAUACCCAACGUUGCCAAAUUUCACAGCACGACUACCAACGGCAACAGACAGUGGCAGCUCAGUGAAGUAGGCAUAUAAACUUUGAGAACAACGAGUGUGCUUAUGCGCUUACUAACAAAUAUACAAUCGGAAAUAUGUAUACACAAGCACAUAGCCUACACUAACGAAUAGACAUUGCCAUGUGGGUAAGCGAUGUAGGUACUCGAAUGUGCUUAUAUACGGCUAUGCAUGAUUAUACGUACGUGUAUAUAAAAAUCAACCACAAUAAAAGACGGCAGACAGCGAGCGAGUAUAUGGCGGCAAAAAUAUACCAUUUAAUGAUAGCACAGCAACAUAAAAACAAGGUACAACCAAGCCGAACGUUCAAACCGGCAGCGACAACAAACACAAAAUAUAAAGAAUACGAAAAAAGCAAUGUACAAUUCAAAAGAACAAAAAGACAAAUAUAAAAGAAGUAUGUAGGAUAUACAUACAUAAAUAAAUAAGAGAUGUGGAGACGCAAUGGGACGGGCCGGUACGGAAUGCGUUAAGAACAUAUAUACGUAAUAUAUAUACAUACAUAUACAAUUAUAUGUAUAUAUUUACAAACUACUAUAAACUGACUGAGAAACUUGACCGGGAUGAGAAAGGUGAAGACAAGUUAAGAAAAAAAACAGAAAAACAAAAAAUCAAGGCAAGCGGACAACACGGCAAAAGUAAAUAUGCACACAUGACGAUAGAUAUAGCAAUGGCGAUGAGGACGACGACUAUUGUAACGAUAAAUGCUAACGGACGGACAAUAGAGUGAAGGCGAAAUGUGGCAACGUGGCUACUGAUACUGGAUAAAAUGACAAAAAGAAGAAAUGCAACGAACGACAGUCAAAACAAGUACACUACUGUGAUAAGCAGGAACAACUUAGUAAGAUCACGAAGAGGCUAUCGGUAGAGUGCAGCAAGUGUAUGUACUUGUAUGUAUGUACACAGAUGCUGUAUUUGCACUAUCGAGUGAAGACCAUAGGAUGUGGUGCAGCAAGCAACAACGACAACAACUGGCCCUAAAACGAGUCGAAUAUAAAAAUAAAUAGCAAAUAAGACUUGAAAGGUUAAAAAAAAAAGUGAAAUAUUUGAGAAAUAAUAAACAGGCGACUGGCAAGCAAUCAGAGGCACCAUAGAAAGAGAAGCAAAUUGUUUUACUUAGCAGCUCAGAAAAUAAUAGGGAAAGACGCGACCUCAAUGUCCAAGAAAGGAGGCAACAACUGUAACCACCAGCCAAAGUAAUCCUUUUUAUGUGUGUGCCUUUAUUAUUUGUGCAUCUGCAAACAAACGAGCCAAUUCCUAAAGAAUCAUGAUGGAUGCACAACCUAGGUGAUUUUUCCGAGUUUUACAGUGUGUAAGCCUCCCACAAGCGAAAGGACAACACAAA